UGAGGAAUAUUGGUCAAUGGGUGAGAGCCUGAACCAGCCAAGUCGCGUGAAGGAAGACAGUCCUAAGGAUUGUAAACUUCUUUUAUACGGGAAUAACGGGCGAUACGAGUAUUGCAUUGAAUGUACCGUAAGAAUAAGCAUCGGCUAACUCCGUGCCAGCAGCCGCGGUAAUACGGAGGAUGCGAGCGUUAUCCGGAUUUAUUGGGUUUAAAGGGUGCGUAGGUUGUUCGGUAAGUCAGCGGUGAAACCUGAGCGCUCAACGUUCAGCCUGCCGUUGAAACUGCCGGGCUUGAGUUCAGUGGCGGCAGGCGGAAUUCGUGGUGUAGCGGUGAAAUGCAUAGAUAUCACGAGGAACUCCGAUUGCGAAGGCAGCUUGCCAUACUGCGACUGACACUGAAGCACGAAGGCGUGGGUAUCAAACAGG
rnacentral:rRNA from 1 species